AAGACCUGGGGAAAGAAGAGAGGGCCACCUCAAACUCAGCCAGCUCAGCCUGCUAAACGAGCAAAGACUGAAAAAGGAAAGAAUAGACGUCCCAAACGUGUCAAUGUUGCUAAAGUGAAGUGCUAUAAUUGUGACAAGAAGGGUCACUAUGCUAAGGAUUGCCCUGAGCCUCCUAGAAAGACUCGGGAGCAACGGACCACAUAGCUUGGGAGCACAAUGCUUUUGUUGAAUUUCGGCGAGUUUCACGUGGAGCAAAGUGGAUAUAUGUGGGAAACAACAAUAAAUUUGCUGUUGAAGGGAUCGGUACAUGCAAGUUAGUCCUGCGUGGCGGUCGAGACCUAAUUCUACAUGAUGUCCUCUAUGCACCAACAAUUCGUCGGAAUGUUAUUUCAGUCUCUGUUUUGCUUAGGCUAGGAUUUAGCUUGUUUUUUCAUGACACUUAUCUCAAGUUGACUUAUGAUUCAACAUUAUUUGGUUUUGGUCA